rnacentral:misc_RNA from 1 species
UCCGAGUUGUCCCCGGCAGUCCUUUUAGAGUCCCCGGCAUUACCCGCUGGCAACUAAAAGCAGGGGUUGCGCUCGUUGCGGCACUUAAGCCAACACCUCACGGCACGAGCUGACGACAGCCAUGCAGCACCUGUGCUAGCCCCUUACGGACACGGGCUUUCACCCGCUUUAACUAGCAUGUCAAGCCUAGGUAAGGUGGGGAUGACGUAUAGGAACACCAAC